AGGAAUUUAGGCUAAAUCAGACCAGGAGCCUUCAAAGCCCCAAGCAAGUACAAAAUACUUAAUUCCUG
rnacentral:tRNA from 1 species